rnacentral:misc_RNA from 1 species
GUUCAUGAGAUAAUUUUAGCAUACAUUUUGAUAAAUGUAAAAAUAAAAUGUUAUGAACCUAUGAUGAUUCUUUUCUAAGCCCUGAUCUUUUUACAUUAACUAAUUUGAUUUCCAUUCAGUUGAUGAUAUGCAUUACUGCAUUUUAAAUAGAAAUAAGAUUUGUUUUAUUUUUUUAGUUAUUAUGAAAGUAUAUAUUUGCAUGAUUUAUUUUUUACUACACCACCCACCCCCCCCCCCCCCCCCAAAAAAAAAACCCCAAAAAAACAAAACCAAUUGUAAUAUUUAUAUUAAAGAAUGUGUUUUAUCAUUUGAUCUUAAAGUCUAACUGUAGUGCUAGAUAGAUUCAGUGCAAACCUGUCCUGUCCCUAAGAUAUCUGGCUUAUCAAAGGUGUAAAAGAUUUAACAGUACUUCAGACAACAACGAUUGACAGCGACAGAUAAUAUAUUAUCAGGUUAUCUCUGAUCAAUACACCAACUGUUUAAGGAUAUAUACUUCCUGAAUUUUUGUUUUUGAAUUUGAAUUAAAUGAAAUGAGAAUUGU